rnacentral:rRNA from 1 species
UACGUAGGGCGCAAGCGUUGUCCGGAAUUAUUGGGCGUAAAGAGCUCGUAGGUGGUUUGUCGCGUCUGCUGUGAAAACCUGGGGCUUAACCCUGGGCCUGCAGUGGAUACGGGCAGACUAGAGGUAGGUAGGGGAGAAUGGAAUUCCCGGUGUAGCGGUGAAAUGCGCAGAUAUCGGGAGGAACACCGGUGGCGAAGGCGGUUCUCUGGGCCUUACCUGACACUGAGGAGCGAAAGCGUGGGGAGCAAACAGG